rnacentral:rRNA from 1 species
AGUGGACGCUGGCGGUAGGCCUAACACAUGCAAGUCGAACGGCAGCACAGUAAGAGCUUGCUCUUACGGGUGGCGAGUGGCGGACGGGUGAGGAAUACAUCGGAAUCUACUUUUUCGUGGGGGAUAACGUAGGGAAACUUACGCUAAUACCGCAUACGACCUACGGGUGAAAGCAGGGGAUCUUCGGACCUUGCGCGAUUGAAUGAGCCGAUGUCGGAUUAGCUAGUUGGCGGGGUAAAGGCCCACCAAGGCGACGAUCCGUAGCUGGUCUGAGAGGAUGAUCAGCCACACUGGAAGUGAGACACGGUCCAGACUCCUACGGGAGGCGGCAGUGGGGAAUAUUGGACGAUGGGCGCAAGCCUGAUCCAGCCAUACCGCGUGGGUGAAGAAGGCCUUCGGGUUGUAAAGCCCUUUUGUUGGGAAAGAAAAGCAGCAGGUUAAUACCCCGCUGUUCUGACGGUACCCAAAGAAUAAGCACCGGCUAACUUCGUG